GGGGUCGACUGGUUUUGACAGCGAGUGGAAUUGGACAGUAAGCACGUCGAGCGCCGGGACACAGCUCGUAAAUAUCAUGUUUCAAACUUAUAAACGGCGAAAAUAAUUACGCUUUAGCUGCUUAAUCCGAAUUAUAGUACGAUUUGCCUAGUUCUCGUUAGACGAGAAAGCUGGAUUCCUCUAAAAAGCCUUGGUUUAUGGCGUUUUGUUCAGGGGAACCGUAAAAGUAAACCUAGGAACGGUAAUGCUUUAAAUCCGUUCUGACAUUCAUAAAGCUAAGCAAAAAGUGGCGGUUUCCGGCCUUGCUUUUUGUCGAAAAUUUAAUCGGAAACUAAACGUGUAGAAAGCUCUUCGAUUGCUUGUUUGGACGAGAGUUCGAUUCUCUCCGACUCCACAA
rnacentral:tmRNA from 2 species